CUCUGUGACUCCUACGGGAGCAGCAGUGGGAAUAUUGCACAAUGGGCGCAAGCCUGAUGCAGCAACGCCGCGUGAGCGAUGAAGGCCUUCGGGUCGUAAAGCUCUGUCCUCAAGGAAGAAUAAAUGACGGUACUUGAGGAGGAAGCCCCGGCUAACUACGUGCCAGCAGCCGCGGUAAUACGUAGGGGCAAGCGUUAUCCGGAAUCACUGGGCGUAAAGGGUGCGUAGGCGGUUUUCAAGUCAGAAGUGAAAGGCUAUGGCUCAACCAUAGUAAGCUUUUGAAACUGUUAAACUUGAGUGCAGGAGAGGAAAGUGGAAUUCCUAGUGUAGAGGUGAAAUUCGUAGAUAUUAGGAGGAACACCAGUGGCGAAGGCGACUUUCUGGACUGUAACUGACGCUGAGGCACGAAAGCGUGGGGAGCGAACAGGAUUAGAUACCCUGGUAG
rnacentral:rRNA from 1 species